GGCCCCGGCGGCGUCAGCAACAGCAGCAAGAACAGCGCGCACAGGGAGCCGGAGGGCCCGGGGAGGCGGGCGGCGCGGCUGGGCAGGAGGCUCAUUGCGGCAACCAGGGCGCUCCGCAAGCAUCGGCGUGCCCGGUGGUCUUCGAAAAUCUUCAAAAAUCACUACGCAAAUUGCCCUGGAAGACGAUGCCUUGCUUUCGGCAGUUCAGUACGCUGGCUGUGGGAGGCUGAUGAGUUUGAAGAACUCUUCUGCAAGUUUGGUGUGGGGUUUUGAAUCCAUUUGGCAGCAAGACAGCACCAACUCUGGUUUUGCUCAACUUCAUGGGAGAGAAGAACCACAAGCUUCUGGAGUGAUUUAGCAUCAUGAUCAGUGGCUGCUUUAAUCCACAGGCCUGUUUGAAUCCAGAUUACGAACCAUAUUCUUCACAGUCACUAGCAAAUACCCCAUGGCUCUCAAUAUCUGCUUAACCACUUGUAUUGCAAAACAAACUGAAGAAACAAACAUAUUUUAAGCUGUUGAAAUCCCCAGUCUAUGUAUUCCUGGCCUUUGAGGCUACAGUGAUGUCAAGCAGCCAAGAGAUUUCCAAAUUAAUCAGCCUGAAACUGUCACCUGCUUUCCAGAUUCCUCUCUUUCUUCAAGACCAGUGUGAGGUUCUGUCUUCCCGGAGAAGGUUUAUUCUGGCAAAGCCAAUUGUUAUGUAUUCUUUUUAUCUUCAGUCUUUGAAUAUCUAAUGUACUUGUGAUAACUGCCUCAUGAGACAGAGUUUACUUAUUCCUUAAUUUUGCAUUUGUCUCUCUCCAGUCAAUUAUAAACUCUUUAAAAUGAGGGGUGAUGAAGUGUUGAAUCACUAUAUUGU